AAUCAUGUAUGCUGUUAGGCCUGGAGACUCCGCCCCACCCGUGGUUAGUGCCCCGCCCCCCAGUUUAGGCUUCCGAUCGGAAAGAAGCCGCCACCUGCGCAGGCUCAAUUUGUAGGUGGAAGCCAGAGUGCUAUGGGCGGAAUCAGGGAAGUUUGGGCCCGGGUUCAGGCUGGGUCAGGGACAAGUGACAAGUCAAUAUUCUCUCAGUGUGCUACUUGUUUAACUUACUGGAAGAUGCUACCCUGAAUCCUUUCCCCACAGUUGUACCUCCCGGUACAUUUUGAGCUCCAGAAAGCAAGAGUUGUCUGAUGGUCUGUGUGUUCCUGGCGUCCAGGUCCCUAUCAUGGAGCCUUGAGUCACAGGACAGGGCAAUGUUCUACCCCUACCUGUGAGCCCCCGGAGUGGGCCAGUCAAGGACAAUCAAGGGGGAUGCCUGGUUCCCCGAGGGACUUCCUUGGUGGCUCAGUGGUAAAGAAUCUGCCUGCCAAUGAAGGAGUUC